CACAGGGCGCACACGGGGGCACCUGUUCCCUCCCAGCCCUCCUGCCCCACGGGUCCCGGAGCCUCCCCUUGGCCAGGCUUCUCCGGGUGGCCGGACUGGGGACUAAUAAUGUCGGAGGUUAACUUCCACAGCUUUGAUUCUGGGCAGGUCAUCUUGUCCCUCUGCCUUGGCCUGCAAAUCUGUUUCUCCUUGGAGACUUCUGAACUGCAGCGCCCGGCGGCUCUGCAAUGCGGCAGCAGCUUCCAGCAGAGACAGAGACCAGAGCAUGAACAUUCAACGCAUUUUACCCAGACGCGCGGCCCAAUUAAGCCACUCCGUCCGUCUCCCCCGCCAGCUCAGCCAGAAAGGCCACUCAGGGCGGCAGCACAGGGGCGGCGGGAGUCUCGAGCCCCUGAUGCAGUGGGUGACGGAGGAGGCGAGCUGACCCCGGCCCCCGUCCUGCUAAACAAGAACGGGGGUGCAUGCCCCCCCCCCAGCUGGGAGCUGCACGCACCGCAGAGCCAGCACCACGGCCAAAGGGCUGACAGGCCAGCAAGAGCCGGUGGUACAUCACAGGAUAAAGUUCUUUCUGCAAGUUGUCAGGGUGGGAAUGUGUCCUUUACAGAUCUGGUCAUAUCAGUGAGGACAUCAAAGAUCCCCUCCUCUGACCCAUGA
rnacentral:lncRNA from 12 species